CCUACGGGUGACAGCAGUGAGGAAUAUUGGUCAAUGGCCGAGAGUCUGAACCAGCCAAGUCGCGUGCAGGAAGACGGCCCUACGAGUUGUAAACCUCUUUUGUACGAGGGCAAACCCAGUCACGUGUAACUCUUUGAGAGUAUCGUACGAAUAAGCAUCGGCUAACUCCGUGCCAGCAGCCGCGGUAAUACGGAGGAUUCCAGCGUUAUCCGGAUUUAUUGGGUUUAAAGGGUGCGCAGGCGGGCGGACAAGUUAGCGGUGAAAUUCCGGGGCUCAACUCCGGAAUUGCCUUUGAAACUGCAUGCCUAGAGAGCGGGUGCGGUAGGCGGAAGGUGUGGUGUAGCGGUGAAAUGCAUAGAUAUCAUACAGAACACCGAUUGCGAAGGCAGCAUACCAGGGUACAACUGACGUUGAGGCACGAAAGCGUGGGUAGCGAACAGGAUUAGAUACCCUAGUAGUC
rnacentral:rRNA from 1 species